UGAGUACGAGCUGCUACGGCAGCGAAGUGGGUGAUGUCAAGCUUCCAAGGAAAGCCCUAUACCCGUUAAGGCAUGAUGGCCUGUACCCGAAACCGACACAGGUGGGGUGGUAGAGAAUACCGAGGGGCGCGAGAUAACUCUCUCUAAGGAACUCGGCAAAAUGGCCCCGUAACUUCGGGAGAAGGGGUGCCACCGCAAGGUGGUCGCAGUGAAGAGGCCCAGGCGACUGUUUACCAAAAACACAGGUCUCCGCUAAGUCGCAAGACGAUGUAUGGGGGCUGACGCCUGCCCAGUGCCGGAAGGUUAAGGAAGCUGGUCAGCGUAAGCGAAGCUAGCGACUGAAGCCCCGGUGAACGGCGGCCGUAACUAUAACGGUCCUAAGGUAGCGAAAUUCCUUGUCGGGUAAGUUCCGACCCGCACGAAAGGCGUAACGAUCUGGGCGCUGUCUCGGAGAGAGGCUCGGCGAAAUAGAAUUGUCUGUGAAGAUGCGGACUACGUGCACCCGGACAGAAAGACCCUAUGAAGCUUUACUGUAGCUUGGUAUUGUGCUCGGGCUCGGAAUGCGCAGGAUAGGUGGGAGGCUAUGAACCAUUGCUUGUGGGUGAUGGUGAGCCACUGGUGAGAUACCACUCUUUCCGAGCUAGAGUUCUAACAGCCACCCGUUAUCCGGGGGCUGGACAGUAUCAGGUGGGCAGUUUGACUGGGGCGGUCGCCUCCUAAAAGGUAACGGAGGCGCGCAAAGGUUUGCUCAGGCUGGUUGGAAAUCAGCCGACGAGUGUAAAAGCAGAAGCAAGCUUGACUGUGAGACCUACAAGUCGAACAGGGAGGAAACUCGGCUUUAGUGAUCCGACGGUUCUGCGUGGAAGGGCCGUCGCUCAACGGAUAAAAGUUACUCUAAGGAUAACAGGCUGAUCUCCCCCAAGAGUUCACAUCGACGGGGAGGUUUGGCACCUCGAUGUCGGCUCAUCGCAACCUGGGGCUGAAGUCGGUCCCAAGGGUUGGGCUGUUCGCCCAUUAAAGCGGUACGCGAGCUGGGUUCAGAACGUCGUGAGACAGUUCGGUCCAUAUCCGGUGCAUGCGCAGGAAUAUUGAGAGGAUUUCUCCCUAGUACGAGAGGACCGGGAGGAACGCACCUCUGGUGUACCAGUUAUCGUGCCAACGGUAAACGCUGGGUAGCCAUGUGCGGAGAGGAUAACCGCUGAAAGCAUCUAAGUGGGAAGCCCACCUCAAGAUGAGUAUUCCCAUGGGGUAACCCAGUAAGGUCACGGGAAGAACACCCGUUGAUAGGCUCUACGUGGAAGCGCAGUAAUGUGUGAAGCGGAGGAGUACUAAUAGACCGAGGGCUUGACC
rnacentral:rRNA from 1 species